AUAGAAAGAGGCAGUUGGAGCAUGAAGAGAGGCAAGCAGCAGCACCGCCGCCAUGAUGAGUCGAGGCACGUAUCCCCGCUCAAGCGUGUCUUUGUGGGGCUUGGAGGGAGCCAGCAGCUGCGGCGGCUAUUGAAUUCUGAUGCGGGCCGGCCUCUACAGUUCCUGAUCGUCAAAUGAAUCAUAGAUCCAACCGUGUGCACCCCAGAGGGAGAGCGGUGAGCCGGCGUAAAGUCCUGACCAAUCGUGAGCAACAGAGGGAGAUUCUCCGAUGCAGGAAGAUUUACCUGGAUAGAUCGCACGCUGCUUGCUCUACACCAGCUGUCUUAGCUUGGUUGAGCAACACUGGUUUCCACUUCCGGGAAGAAGUCACGUGCCGGAAUACAAGCAAUACAAAGGAAAGAUCAUGGCGAGGACCCAAUACCAAUCGAUGUCCAAUUAGCGAGGCGCCGCAGCCCACAGGGUGGAGGACCGGGGGCGAACAGGAGGUGCUGUUUAGGAAAGGAAGCAAGGAGAUGAGAGGGUGCAUGCAAGGUCUAUAAGUGGGCGGAGAUGACUUUGGGAAUACCAGAGUGGUGGCUGGAGGCCGGAGGGAGGCGGGAACAAGAUGGAUGCAACAGAGCGGGGGGAGGAAACGCAGAAGGGCAAACAGGGAGAGGCGGAGAUGAAUUGAGACAAGGGAGAUACAGUACCUUUUUAAAUGAGAAGGAUGAGUUUCAUGGACAAUGAAACGAAAAUAGUUGAUUAUGUCGGGGUUAAGUUAGACCAUCGCUCAUGGGGCUCCCCAUAUAACAACCUCCACCCUCCUUCCACUUAUCACAAGGGAUCGUAUCGUUUACAUUUUAACCGAUGCUAGUACCAAAUUGGUACUUUAAAAACAGCGAGGGUGUUCAAACAGUGCCCGAACCGGUAAGUGGGAAUUGCACUUUUUUAAAAAUAUUUUUGCUUAUUGUUCAAAAUCCUCAUGACAUACAAUAAGACCAAAGUUUCUUUUUUUUUUCCCCCCCGCUUUCUAACGUGUGAAAAUCACCCCAUUCGAGGUGGCUAGCUAUGCAGGUUACCAUGAAUUGAUUAACGUGGACCCCGACUUAAACAAGUUGAAAAACUUAUUCGGGUGUUACCAUUUAGUGGUCAACUGUACGGAAUAUGUACUCUACUGUGCAAACUACUAAUAAAAGUAUCAAUCAAUCAAUCAAUCAAAAGGUAGUGGGAACAAUCAAUUCUACCUUUAAAUCACUUAAAAAAUGCAUUCAAAAACCGCCAACAAUACUAAUUUACGUUUCGUAACCCGUGUAAUACCCAAGCUGUCGCAACAUAGUUAUUAUAAAAUAGAACUUUUUCUAGCAUAGUAAGACAUCCCCAUGCUACGGUAUUAGCCAUAGAAGCUAGCAACGGAAAGAGAUAAGCUCGCUUCUACGUCAGCACGAACCGCGUUUGAGUUUGUAAUGCACUCCACUGCAAAGGCAAAGCCCAGUAACUCAAUUUUGGUCAAA